rfam:Ciona savignyi cont_45657, whole genome shotgun sequence.
UACCUGGUUGAUCCUGCCAGUAGUCAUAUGCUUGUCUCAAAGAUUAAGCCAUGCAAGUCUAAGUACGAGCUCUCGUACAGUGAAACUGCGAAUGGCUCAUUAAAUCAGUUAUGGUUCAUUUGAUCGUACAGUUUACUUGGAUAACUGUGGUAAUUCUAGAGCUAAUACAUGCGAGAAGCGCCGACCUCGCGGGAGGCGUGCAUUUAUCAGACCAAAAACCGGCCGCGUCUUCGGGCGCGUUCGCCUUGGUGACUCUGGAUAACUUUGCGGAUCGCACGGUCUAGCACCGGCGACGGAUCAUUCAAGUGUCUGCCCUAUCAACU